AAAGGGAGACCUAAUUCAGGUAAAAGACGAAAAAAAAGUAGUCGCUACCAAGAAUCAAUCCCAAAAGGUCGGAGCGAGGCGAAAUUGGCUUUCAAACUAGGUUCUGGGUUCACAGAAGACCUGAAUCAGGAACAAGGGCUAUUAGCUCAGGUGGUUAGAGCGCACCCCUGAUAAGGGUGAGGUCCCUGGUUCGAGUCCAGGAUGGCCCACCUGCACAGGUGGUAAAAACAAGAGAAGCGAGGAAUCAGCACCUUAUCUUACUUACAUAGUAAGAGAGAAUGCUGGCUCUGAGUAAAGAGUCCAGAGGAACCUUGAAAACUGCAUAGAGCUAGGUGAAAAAGCCAAAAAAGAAGACCGCAAG
rnacentral:tRNA from 1 species